rnacentral:lncRNA from 1 species
CAAUAUUUUAUUUUACAAUGCAUUCUCCAAAAUGGGUAUCUCUUCAGAUCGAUUGGUUAGGCGUGAUUCUCCCCUUAUAGGUUUCACUGAAGACACCAUACCAGUCGAAGGGGUCAUCACCCUAGCCGUUAUAGUUGGAUGAGGACCCCGACAAUCCACUACAAAUAUUGACUUCCAAGUCGUCAGAAUACCUUCAGCAU